rnacentral:tRNA from 1 species
AGUCCCUCCCAGUGCU